GAAAAAGCUAAGCUGAAUCAACACAAGUUGUAAGCAAAUUGAGGUGGACUGAUUCUCGGCCAGAUCCGGUAUCAGAUUAAUAUUUAGCCCUUCGAAAUUCCAAAAAGUUACAUUUUAUAUUUGAAGCUUAUGGAUGACCUUACUGAACAGCCUCUUCCACCUGGGGUUCUUUCUACGUCAUAUUCUUCACCACUUGUGCCAACUUUGAAUCCUGCUGGACAUUUGCCCCAGUCCUUUCAGAAAACUCGUUACCUUGCUGGCAAUGGCGAUGGAAAUCUUUUCCCUGUGGUUGCUUCUGUUCAACCUUGCUCUGAAUCUUUUCAUACCUCUCAACACGACUCUUCUGAGGCUAUACUCAAUACUUUACAGCCGCGAAGUGCUAAUGAUCUUGAGAGCGCUGCUCAGAAUGCUGUUUUGCAUGAACAGGAAAUUUCUGCACAAAAAGUAAUUCAAAGCCAAAGAGAAGCAAGAGAUGCAAGUGGACCUAAGGAUAAUUCGGAUAUUUUCUCUGGUCGUCAUGACCCAAAUGCUUUAAAGGAGCAUUUACUCCAAAUGACGGCAGACCAUCGUGUACAAAUGUCCUUAAAGCGUGGAAAGUCUGCACAGCCUGAGCAAGGUAAUGUGGAAAUUGGAAAUGGAUAUGGAGUGCCAGGUGGAGGUGCUUAUUACAGUGCCUCAAAUACCGAUGACUCGAUCUCCAAGACUAAUGGGGGUUCCGAACAUAAUUCUGGUAAAGAAUUACCUGAAUACCUCAAGAAGAAGUUGAAGGCUCGAGGUAUUCUUAAAGAUGAUUCAAAAAUAGAGAACCAUGGCAUAGCAAUCAAUAGCUCAAAGGCACAAUUACCAAAGACAUCAGAUGCCACUUUGCCUGUGGGAUGGAUCGAAUCCAGGGACCCUACAAGUGGUGCUUUAUAUUAUUAUAAUGGAAGUACUGGGAAAAGUCAGUGGGGAAGACCUACUGAGGCUCCUGCACAAGUUUCUGGGGUGUGUUCGGGACUUCCUGAAUAUUGGCAGGAGGUUCUUGAUGAAUCAACUGGUCAAAAAUAUUACUAUAACUCACAGACUAAUGUAUCACAAUGGGAACAUCCUUCUAAACCACAGCAGGUUGCCAUUCAGCACCAUGAUGGAACAGUCACCAACAAUGCAACUAAUGUAACUUGGGUUGACCAAGCUUCCACAUUCCAGAGAUGCAUUGAAUGUGGGGGAUGGGGUGUGGGGCUUGUACAGUCAUGGGGUUACUGCAAACAUUGCACUCGAGUUCUCAAUCUUCCUCAAAGCCAGUAUGUGUCAGCAAAUGUGGAGAGACAACAACAAACUUCUGGGGAUGCAGGUGUCACAGAAGACUCUGAAAAAAAGUUUCAGAGGCAGAGGUCUAGUUUCAAACCACCAAUGAGUAAAAGCAACAAAAAAGACAAACGGAAACGCACAAAUGAUGAGGAUGAUGAAUUGGAUCCUAUGGAUCCAAGCUCUUAUUCGGAUGCUCCUAGGGGUGGUUGGGUUGUAGGUCUCAAAGGAGUGCAACCACG
rnacentral:misc_RNA from 1 species